UGUAAGCGUAUACCAAAGUUGUUGCAGUUAAAACGCUCGUAGUCGGAAUUUGGCAGUUCCGGAUGUGUGCACGUCGUGUGCGCACUUCGCGGGGAUUGCUUUUGUGGUCUUGCGUAGGAUGAGGCACUUUUAUUAGUGAACGUCCUCACGCAACCACUUUUUACUGUGAGAAAAUCAGAGUGCUCAAAGCAGGCAUUUGCCGUGAAUGUAUUAGCAUGGAAUAAUAGAAUAGGACUUGGUUCUAUUUUGUUGGUUUGUUGGGACUGAGUAAUGAUUAAGAGGGACAGUUGGGGGCAUUUGUAUUUCGGUGCUAGAGGUGAAAUUCUUAGAUUGCCGAAAGACAAACUGCUGUGAAAGCGUCUGCCAAGGAUGUUUUCAUUGA
rnacentral:rRNA from 1 species